rnacentral:rRNA from 1 species
AGCUCCAAUAGCGUAUAUUAAAGUUGUUGCAGUUAAAAAGCUCGUAGUUGGAUUUCUGGCUGGGCAUGUGGGUCCGCUCUUUGAGUUGGCACCAUACAUGUCUGGCCAUCCUUUGGGAGAGCCACAGUGGCAUUAAGUUGUUGGUGUGGGGAUCUCAAUCCUUUACUGUGAAGAAAUUAGAGUGUUCAAAGCUGUGAAGAAAUUAGAGUGUUCAAAGCAGGCUUACGCCGUUGAAUAUAUUAGCAUGGAAUAAUGACAUAGGACUUUUGUACUAUUUUGUUGGUUUGCGAGCAAAAGUAAUGAUUAACAGGGACAGUUGGGGGUAUUUGUAUUCCAUUGUCAGAGGUGAAAUUCUUGGAUUUUUGGAAGACAAACUACUGCGAAAGCAUUUACCAAAGAUGUUUUCA